rnacentral:rRNA from 1 species
UUGGAGGGCAAGUCUGGUGCCAGCAGCCGCGGUAAUUCCAGCUCCAAUAGCGUAUAUUAAAGUUGUUGCAGUUAAAAAGCUCGUAGUUGAAUUUCGGGGUUCUUCCGUUGGUCAGGCUAACAAGUCUGUACUAGCGUGUAGAAUCUCUACCUUCUGGGGAACCAUCAUGUUAUUAAUUUAGCGUGGUGGGAAACCAGGACCUUUACCUUGAAAAAAUUGAGUGUUCAAAGCAGGCUUACGUCUGAAUACAUUAGCAUGGAAUAAUAAAAUAGGACGGUGGUCCUGUUUUGUUGGUUUCUGAAUCACCGUAAUGAUUAAUAGGGAUAGUUGGGGGGCAUUAGUAUUCAAUUGUCAGAGGUGAAAUUCUUGGAUUUAUUGAAGCUAACUUCUGCGAAAGCAUUUGCCAAGGAUGUUUUCAUUA